ACUGAGUUGCAAAACUCCAAACCCAUGUGAACAUACUCGUGUUGCCUCGGCGGCGAGCUACCCGGGAGCCUCCUACCCUGGAGUUGCCUACCCGGGAGCUGCCCGGCAGCUCCUACCCUGGAGCUACCCUGUAGCGCUGGCGGACCGCCGGAGGACCACCUAACUCUGUUUUUCUGUGUGGCACCUCUGAGUACGUACAUCUAAAUAAGUU
rnacentral:misc_RNA from 1 species